UUCGGGGGACAAAGUGACAGGUGGUGCAUGGUUGUCGUCAGCUCGUGUCGUGAGAUGUUGGGUUAAGUCCCGCAACGAGCGCAACCCUUAAGCUUAGUUGCCAGCAUUAAGUUGGGCACUCUAAGUUGACUGCCGGUGACAAACCGGAGGAAGGUGGGGAUGACGUCAAAUCAUCAUGCCCCUUAUGAUUUGGGCUACACACGUGCUACAAUGGACAAUACAAAGGGCAGCUAAACCGCGAGGUCAUGCAAAUCCCAUAAAGUUGUUCUCAGUUCGGAUUGUAGUCUGCAACUCGACUACAUGAAGCUGGAAUCGCUAGUAAUCGUAGAUCAGCAUGCUACGGUGAAUACGUUCCCGGGUCUUGUACACACCGCCCGUCACACCACGAGAGUUUGUAACACCCGAAGCCGGUGGAGUAACCAUUUAUGGAGCUAGCCGUCGAAGGUGGGACAAAUGAUUGGGGUGAAGUCGUAACAAGGUAGCCGUAUCGGAAGGUGCGGUUGG
rnacentral:rRNA from 1 species